rnacentral:rRNA from 1 species
GACGAACGCUGGCGGCGUGCUUAACACAUGCAAGUCGAACGGAAAGGCCCUGCUUUUGUGGGGUGCUCGAGUGGCGAACGGGUGAGUAACACGUGAGUAACCUGCCCUUGACUUUGGGAUAACUUCAGGAAACUGGGGCUAAUACCGGAUAGGAGCUCCUGCUGCAUGGUGGGGGUUGGAAAGUUUCGGCGGUUGGGGAUGGACUCGCGGCUUAUCAGCUUGUUGGUGGGGUAGUGGCUUACCAAGGCUUUGACGGGUAGCCGGCCUGAGAGGGUGACCGGCCACAUUGGGACUGAGAUACGGCCCAGACGCCUACGGGAGGCAGCAGUGGGGAGUAUUGCACAAUGGGCGGAAGCCUGAUGCAGCAACGCCGCGUGCGGGAUGACGGCCUUCGGGGUGUAAACCGCUUUCGACUGUGACGAAGCGUGAGUGACGGUAAUGGGUAAAGAAGCACCGGCUAACUACGUG